ACGCGUUAGACGAACGGUCUGGAAAGUCCGACGAUACAGGGUGAUAGUCCCGUAGUUGACGACGUGUGUUCAGUGAAAUCGAGUAGGGCGGGACACGUGAUAUCCUGUCUGAAUAUGGGGGGACCAUCCUCCAAGGCUAAAUACUACUGACUGACCGAUAGUGAACCAGUACCGUGAGGGAAAGGCGAAAAGAACCCCUGUGAGGGGAGUGAAAUAGAACCUGAAACCGUGUACGUACAAGCAGUAGGAGCAGGCUUUGUCCUGUGACUGCGUACCUUUUGUAUAAUGGGUCAGCGACUUAUAUUCAGUGGCAAGGUUAACCAUCUAGGGGAGCCGUAGGGAAACCGAGUCUUAACUGGGCGUUCAGUCUCUGGAUAUAGACCCGAAACCAGGUGAUCUAGCCAUGGGCAGGUUGAAGGUUGAGUAACAUCAACUGGAGGACCGAACCGACUAAUGUUGAAAAAUUAGCGGAUGACUUGUGGCUAGGGGUGAAAGGCCAAUCAAACCUGGAGAUAGCUGGUUCUCCCCGAAAGCUAUUUAGGUAGCGCCUCGGACGAAUACUACUGGGGGUAGAGCACUGUUAAGGCUAGGGGGUCAUCCCGACUUACCAACCCUUUGCAAACUCCGAAUACCAGUAAGUACUAUCCGGGAGACACACGGCGGGUGCUAACGUCCGUCGUGGAGAGGGAAACAACCCAGACCGCCAGCUAAGGUCCCAAAUUACUACUAAGUGGGAAACGAUGUGGGAAGGCUCAGACAGCCAGGAUGUUGGCUUAGAAGCAGCCAUCAUUUAAAGAAAGCGUAAUAGCUCACUGGUCGAGUCGGCCUGCGCGGAAGAUGUAACGGGGCUAAGUAGU
rnacentral:rRNA from 1 species